rnacentral:lncRNA from 1 species
AGUGCGCAUUCCCGUUACAAGAGGCGCUCUCUCAUUCCAGAGGCGGAGCAGGUGGCCAUUAGAGAUACAGGGGCCAUUCGACAUCCAGGCGCCGUUCCUGCUCUAGUCUGCCUACAUUCCGCAUCGGUGUGCAGCAAGGAGAUCAGCACCAGACCUGGGCAUCCAAGAUCAAGAGCUCCGAACGAUAGCAUUAACGCAAGACGUACGACAGCACUUCCUGGGUAGAAUGGCGGGACGUGUCGCAGCGUUGUUUCUGCUUUUCUCUGUGCUAACUUUUGGCAUCAUGGCUAUUGCAAGUGCCGAUGACGAAGUCGUGCGCUUGUUGACGAAAGGACCGGCUCCGACCGAAUAGCGCGAAGAGGAUGCAGGGGCGGGAAUAAUGACAAUGGCUAUGUGUCAAGUUGCUAUAAAAGAGCCUAAAUUCCUGCGCACUA